rnacentral:rRNA from 1 species
AACGAACGCUGGCGGCAUGCCUAACACAUGCAAGUCGAACGAGACCUUCGGGUCUUGUGGCGCCCGGGUGCGUCACGCGUGGGAACCUUCCCUUAGGUUCGGCCUAACUCCCCGACAGGGGUGCUAAUACCGGAUCAUGUCUUCUGACCAAUGAUUUAUCGCCUUUGGAUGUGCCCGCGUUGGAUUAGCUAGUUGGUAGGGUAAAAGCCUACCAAGGCGACGAUUCAUAGCUGGUUUGAGAGGAUGCUUAGCCACACUGGGACUGAGACACGGCCCAGACUCCUACGGGAGGCAGCAGUGGGGAAUAGUGGACGAUGGGCGAAAGCCUGAUCCAGCAAUGCCGCGUGAGUGAUGAAGGCCUUAGGGUUGUAAAGCUCUUUUACCCGGGAUGAUAAUGACAGUACCGGGAGAAUAAGCACCGGCUAACUCCGUG